GAGCCGGGUUUGAGCCGGGUCCUAGAUUCUUUAUUUCAAACAAAAAACCUAGAAGAAAGGACAAAGGGGGGCGGAGCAGGGUGGGGAGAGAACAGAGAGAGAAACGUGAGGAGGUGGAGGCUCAACGCGCCCACCCUCACAGCUUCGAAUUCCGCUCCCCUCCUCUCCUCGGGCCUCGGCGCCGCAACCCGCGCGGCGCGUUCACACCGGCGAACCCUAGCCCCCCGCCCCCCGCUAUCCGGAGGGGAUGCAGACGGAGGCGCGCGUGGGCGUCGUCGUCGACGGCGGCGGCGGCCGCGCCGCGGUCGCCCGGCGCCAGGAGCAGCGUCACAUCGGCACGGCGGCGCACCUCGCCGCCGGAGGCUUCGCCGGCGCCGUCAGCAAGACGUGCACCGCCCCGCUCGCGCGGCUCACCAUCCUCUUCCAGGUGGCAGGUAUGCACGCAGAUGCUGCAGCUCUAAGGAAGUAUAGCAUAUGGCAUGAGGCUUCACGAAUUGUUCGAGAAGAAGGGUUUCGAGCCUUUUGGAAAGGAAAUCUAGUGACAAUUGUACAUCGCUUACCUUAUUCCGCCAUCAGCUUCUAUUCAUAUGACCGCUACAAAAUUCUUCUCCAAAUGGUCCCAGGCUUGGAUAGAGAAUCAAACAAUGUUGGUGUUGUACGUUUGCUUGGUGGCGGGUUGGCGGGAAUAACAGCCGCAUCUGCAACCUACCCGUUGGAUGUUGUCCGUACUCGUUUGGCAACACAGAAAACAACUAGGUAUUACAAGGGCAUCUUCCAUGCGAUGUCUACAAUUUGUAGAGAUGAGGGUGUCAAAGGAUUGUACAAAGGCCUUGGGGCCACGUUACUGGGAGUUGGACCUAGUAUAGCAAUCAGCUUUUCUGUUUAUGAAUCACUGAGGUCUCACUGGAAAAUGGAAAGGCCCCACGACUCUACCGCGGUUGUUAGCUUGUUUUCUGGAAGCCUAUCUGGCAUUGCAUCAUCGACAGGUAAGUCUAUCUGUCCGAACAUCAACAUCAACAUCAACAAAGCCUUUUAAUCCCAAGCAAGUUGGGGUAGGCUAGAGUUGAAACCCAACAAAGACCAUUAUUCAUGGUUGUGGCACGUGAAUCGCGGCUUUCCAAGCACUCCUAUCCAAGGACAAAUCUCUAGCCACAUUUCCUCUUGAUCUUGUAAAACGGCGGAUGCAACUACAAGGAGCAGCUGGGACAGCUCCUGGCCAUAAAUCCACAAUUACUGGAACUGUUCGUGACAUUUUGCAGAAGGAAGGCCCUCGUGGCUUUUAUAGAGGGAUCGCCCCUGAGUACCUCAAGGUUGUUCCCAGUGUUGGCAUUGCCUUUAUGACAUACGAGACACUGAAGAGCUUGCUCUCCAGCAUGGACGCAGAUGACGAGAGCUGAGGUUUUCCAUUUUACAGAGAGGUUAAACUUCAGGGAGAUUUUAGCCAUAGGUCACUGUCAGAACUCAGAAGCUAAGUGCAUCAGAGUGGUUACAUGGCCGGCAGUGUGGCAGUUUUGUAGUUCUUGGUAGGAUAAAGCUUGCCUGACACAUGUACAAAUAAACCGUCAGUCUUAUGUUGUACCAUAGGCUAAGAAGAGCAAAUGAGCACUUCAUCUUUUGCGUUCAUCGGAGCAUUGUGCUCCAGUUUUGUGUCAUGAAAUGUAAUGCCCUCGCAAGGAGAAAAAGAGAGGCGAUAGUCAAUGAUUUUACAGAUUCUAUUUUUUCUUUUGCAGCAAAUGUGUGAUGUAUGCAUGACUUCACUCAGAGAAUGUUUUAUAUUUGCCCUCA